AAAAAUUGCACCAUCUAUCACUUCGAUUCCGUUCGCUUGAGUUUAGGUCGAAAAGUGAAGAUGAAGACAAUAGUGAGACAUUUUUUUACAAGGUAUAAGAUGUGUGGCAACCGUGUCAACAGGAAAGAGCCUUUAUGGAAAUAUGUGGAGUGCGCUCAACAAAAGGGAGGCCUUGAGUGUGGAUUUUACGUAAUGCGGUACAUGUUUGAUUUAGUCUCCUGCUGCAAUGAUGUUUCAUAUUUAGAGAAGGU